UGGAGAGUUUGAUCCUGGCUCAGAUUGAACGCUGGCGGCAGGCCUAACACAUGCAAGUCGRACGGUAACAGGGAGCAGCUUGCUGCUSUGCUGACGAGUGGCGGACGGGUGAGUAAUGUCUGGGAAACUGCCUGAUGGAGGGGGAUAACUACUGGAAACGGUAGCUAAUACCGCAUAACGUCUACGGACCAAAGUGGGGGACCUUCGGGCCUCAUGCCAUCAGAUGUGCCCAGAUGGGAUUAGCUAGUAGGUGGGGUAACGGCUCACCUAGGCGACGAUCCCUAGCUGGUCUGAGAGGAUGACCAGCCACACUGGAACUGAGACACGGUCCAGACUCCUACGGGAGGCAGCAGUGGGGAAUAUUGCACAAUGGGCGCAAGCCUGAUGCAGCCAUGCCGCGUGUAUGAAGAAGGCCUUCGGGUUGUAAAGUACUUUCAGCGGGGAGGAAGGUGSUGUGGUUAAUAACCRCAGCAAUUGACGUUACCCGCAGAAGAAGCACCGGCUAACUCCGUGCCAGCAGCCGCGGUA
rnacentral:rRNA from 1 species